rnacentral:lncRNA from 1 species
GUGAGGAUCAGAAUAUAUGAUGUGUAGAAAGAGUUUUGUUAAUCCUAAAGAACUAUCUGAAUGUGAGAGUGACCAGGGCUAUCUGAUUUCAUGUAGGUAAAAUACACAGUGAGAAAAAUUACAUCUGUUAUUUUCUACCUGCUGAAGAUGUAGGGAUCAAUUAUCAUGUGAGAUGGGGAAAAGAGAAUUCUAGAAGAGAAAUGGCUGAACACUCCAAUGGAUUCGGAAGUAAAAACAAAACAAACAGAAAAUCUUUAAGCAUUUUUGCUCCUUGAGCCUCAGGAUGGUAC